rnacentral:rRNA from 1 species
GAUGAACGCUGGCGGCGUGCCUAAUACAUGCAAGUCGAGCGAACCGAUUAUAAGCUUGUUCCUCUGCCGUUAGCGGCGUACGGGUGGGUUACACGUGGAUAACCUACCUAUAAGACUGGGAUAACUUCGGGAAAUCGGCGCUAAUAUCGGAUCAUAUAUUGCACCGCAUGGGUCUGUAGAGCAAGCCGGCUUUGCUGUCACUUAUCGAUGGAUCUGCGCCGCAUUAGCUAGUUCGUAAGGUAGCGGGUUACCAAGGCAACGAUGCGUAGCCGACCGGAUAGGGUGACCGGGCACACUGGAACUGAGACACGGUCCAGACUCCGACGGGAAGCAGCAGUAGGGAAUCUUCCGCGAUGGGCGAAGGCCUGACGGGACAACGCCGGGUGAGAGAUGAAGGUCUGCGGGUCGUAAAACGCUGUGAUUAGGGAAGAACAAAUGUGUAAGUAACUAUGCACGUCUUGACGGUACCUAAGGAGAAAGCCACGGCCAACUACGUG